GCCACCGAUGAUGCGGACACUAAUGGAGGCGUUGAAUAACGGGCAGGAGGCAACAGCGCAAGAGGCACUUGAAUUGUUGAUCGAAUUAGCCGGGACGGAGCCGAGGUUUUUGAGGCGGCAAUUAGUAGAUGUAGUGGGAUCGAUGUUGCAAAUUGCAGAAGCUGAGUCGUUGGACGAAGGAACGAGGCACUUGGCGAUUGAAUUUGUGAUCACUCUUGCAGAAGCCAGGGAGCGGGCACCCGGAAUGAUGAGAAAGAUGCCACAGUUUAUAUCCAGGUUGUUCGCCAUAUUGAUGAAAUUGCUCUUGGAUAUUGAAGAUGAUCCGGCGUGGCACGCUGCUGAGAACGAAGACGAGGAUGCAGGCGAGACCAGUAACUACAGUGUUGGGCAGGAGUGUUUGGAUAGGCUUGCAAUUUCUCUGGGUGGCAAUACCAUUGUCCCUGUUGCUUCUGAGCUGUUUCCUGCUUACUUAGCUG
rnacentral:misc_RNA from 1 species